rnacentral:tRNA from 1 species
GCCUUCGUAGUGUAGUGGUCAGCACGCUGGGGCGUAUUCCAGUGGUCCGUGGUUCGAGUCCCUUUGAAGGCG